GCUCGGUCACUCCUUUCCCCAAACUCUGAGGUUGCACGUUGUCCUACUGAAAGCAAUUAUCUCCAUUAUUCUGCCUGUGGGCUUGUGGGUUUCACGUUAGGGGAAAAAAAAUCUUCAUUUUUUUACCUGAAGUCUAAUAACUAUAACUAUAACCAUUUGCACAUUUAACCACAGGGUGUGACAUUUAUUUUCUCUCAUUCCCUGCUCAUGUCCGUUCCCUUGCUGUGCAGCACAAAGGAAUGACAGAACUGGAGCGUGUUCCCGGCUACCCAUUGUGCCAGCCAUCUUUUGCUUCAGUAUAUGGGCUGAGAAACUUUUGCACAAUGAAGCUACAGUGUUUUCCAGUUUGAACAUCAAUCAACAUGCUUAAAAUACCUUAUACCAUCACCAAACAAAGAUGCCUCUGUUCUUGACUGCUGGUUCAGAAAUCCCCUCAGAACUGCUGGGAAUGGAGACCUUUCCACCUCAAAGCAGAGUCACUGGCCCAAAGCUUUACCUCUUCUGUGAUAGCACUUAACCUUUCCGGGGUCAUAGUUUCAUUUGAGAAGCUGAUGAAAAAUAUGAACUCUUUCCCACAGGAAGGGCACAUAUAUAUGCU
rnacentral:lncRNA from 1 species